rnacentral:rRNA from 1 species
GGGAUUGCCUCAGUAACGGCGAGUGAAGCGGCAACAGCUCAAAUUUGAAAGCUGGCUCCUUUAGAGCCCGCAUUGUAAUUUGUAGAGGAUGCUUCGGGUGCGGCGCUGGUCUAAGUUCUUUGGAACAAGACGUCAUAGAGGGUGAGAAUCCCGUAUGUGACUAGCUGCCUGUGCCUAUGUGAAGCUCCUUCGACGAGUCGAGUUGUUUGGGAAUGCAGCUCAAAAUGGGUGGUGUACUUCAUCUAAAGCUAAAUAUUGGCCAGAGACCGAUAGCGCACAAGUAGAGUGAUCGAAAGAUGAAAAGCACUUUGGAAAGAGAGUUAAACAGUACGUGAAAUUGUUGAAAGGGAAGCGCUUGCAAUCAGACUUGCGCGGCGUCGAUCAACCUGGGUUCUCCCUGGUGCACUCGGCGCUGCUCAGGCCAGCAUCAGUUUCGGCGGUUGGAUAAAGGCCUAGGGAACGUGGGUUACUUCGGUGACUGUUAUAGCCCUAGGUGCAAUGCAGCCUGCUGGGACUGAGGACCGCGCUUCGGCUAGGAUGCUGGCGUAAUGGUUGUAAGCGACCCGUCUUGAAACACGGACCAAGGAGUCUAACAUCUAUGCGAGUUUUUGGGUGUCAAACCCAUAAGCGUAAUGAAAGUGAACGGAGGUGAGAACCCUUAAGGGUGCAUCAUCGACCGAUCCUGAUGUCUUCGGAUGGAUUUGAGUAAGAGCAUAGCUGUUGGGACCCGAAAGAUGAUGAUCUAUACCUGAAUAGGGUGAAGCCAGAGGAAACUCUGGUGGAGGCUCGCAGCGGUUCUGACGUGCAAAUCGAUCGUCAAAUUUGGGUAUAGGGGCGAAAGACUAAUCGAAUCAUUGAGCAAUUGCUACUAGGUGAUUGAGAGAUAUAUAGACAACAUAUAUAUAUCUAGUUCCUUGUGAAGGAGCUAUACUGCAAAAUUGCGGGAACCCUCUAAGUGCCUAAACUACUGCCCUCGGGCUGAAAAGCUCGAGGGCACCAGUAAUUGCUGGGUAUGGUAAUAAGGUUUAGGAUUGAGCAACCCGCAGCCCUGCCCUACAGCAGUUUACACUGCCACGGGCAUGGUCCAUCGACUAGAUGGCAGUAGGUGCUGCCAACCAUAUUGGCUGUGUCUAAGGUAUAGUCAGACUAUGGUAGAGAUGCUAUG